GCGCCAGCAAAAUAUGGCGUCGGGAUUUGCACCCCGGAUAUCUGUAGAGACGCAUACCGCGUUUAGCGGUUUUUUU
rnacentral:sRNA from 1 species